GGCUCAGAUUGAACGCUGGCGGCAGGCCUAACACAUGCAAGUCGAGCGGUAGAGAGAAGCUUGCUUCUCUUGAGAGCGGCGGACGGGUGAGUAAUGCCUAGGAAUCUGCCUGGUAGUGGGGGAUAACUUCGGAAACGGACGCUAAUACCGCAUACGUCCUACGGGAGAAAGCAGGGGACCUUCGGGCCUUGCGCUAUCAGAUGAGCCUAGGUCGGAUUAGCUAGUUGGUGAGGUAAUGGCUCACCAAGGCGACGUCCGUAACUGGUCUGAGAGGAUGAUCAGUCACACUGGAACUGAGACACGGUCCAGACUCCUACGGGAGGCAGCAGUGGGGAAUAUUGGACAAUGGGCGAAAGCCUGAUCCAGCCAUGCCGCGUGUGUAAGAAGGUCUUCGGAUUGUAAAGCACUUUAAGUUGGGAGGAAGGGCAGUNANUUAAUACNUNNNUGUUUUGACGUUACCGACAGAAUAAGCACCGGCUAACUCUGUGCCAGCAGCCGCGGUAAUACAAGGGUGCAAGCGUUAAUCGGAAUUACUGGGCGUAAAGCGCGCGUAGGUGGUUNGUUAAGUUGGAUGUGAAAUCCCCGGGCUAAAAAUGGGAACUGCAUUCAAAACUGACNNANNNCUAGAGUAUGGUGAGGGUGGUGGAAUUUCCUGUGUAGCGGUGAAAUGCGUAGAUAUAGGAAGGAACACCAGUGGCGAAGGCGACCACCUGGACUGAUACUGACACUGAGGUGCGAAAGCGUGGGGAGCAAACAGGAUUAAUACCCUGGUAGUCCACGCCGUAAACGAUGUCAACUAGCCGUUGGGAGCCUUGAGCUCUUAGUGGCGCAGCUAACGCAUUAAGUUGACCGCCUGGGGAGUACGGCCGCAAGGUUAAAACUCAAAUGAUUGACGGGGGCCCGCACAACCGGUGGAGCAUGUGGUUUAAUUCNAAGCAACNCGAAGAACCUUACNANGNCUUGACAUCCAAUGAACUUUCUANANAUAGAUUGGUGCCUUCGGGAACAUUGAGACAGUGCUGCAUGGCUGUCGUCAGCUCGUGUCNUGAGAUGUUGGGUUAA
rnacentral:rRNA from 1 species